UACGUAGGGUGCAAGCGUUGUCCGGAAUUAUUGGGCGUAAAGAGCUUGUAGGCGGUUUGUCGCGUCUGCUGUGAAAUUUCGGGGCUCAACCCCGAACUUGCAGUGGGUACGGGCAGACUAGAGUGUGGUAGGGGAGACUGGAAUUCCUGGUGUAGCGGUGAAAUGCGCAGAUAUCAGGAGGAACACCGAUGGCGAAGGCAGGUCUCUGGGCCACUACUGACGCUGAGAGACGAAAGCUAGGGGAGCGAAUGGG
rnacentral:rRNA from 1 species